rnacentral:sRNA from 1 species
UCAAAAUCCCUACUUGCUAUGAGAUGGUAUGACACAAAAAGGAAAUUUUGCUUGAAUCUUGAAGUGGUUGUGUUUCCGAAAACAAAAGAAAAAUACAAACAAAGUUGAGAGUAUAAAGAAAAUGUGUAAAACAUAAAAUUACUGUGUCAAGUGGUUUUACAUCGAAAAGUUUCUUGAAGCAAAAAAAAAAGGAAAGAAAAUUUUAUGCCACAAAAAUUAAUAUUUUACAAUUGGAAAAUGAUUUUAUGCGUUCUAUUUUAAUAUCUAUCCUCUCCUCUGUUCCUUUUGGUGUUGUGCGUGUGUGUAUGUGUCUGUGUGCGUAGGUCCUUUGUGCUCUGUUUUAUUACGCCGCCAACGUUUGCCGUGUGUUAUACAGCUGUUUUU